rnacentral:rRNA from 1 species
UACGUAGGGAGCAAGCGUUGUCCGGAAUCAUUGGGCGUAAAGGGCGCGUAGGCGGCUCAUGAAGGCUGUGGUGAAAGUCCGGGGCUCAACCUCGGAUCGGCCGUGGCGACUCGUGGGCUGGAGCACUGUAGAGGCGGGUGGAAUUCCGGGUGUAGCGGUGGAAUGCGUAGAGAUGUGGAGGAACACCAGUGGCGAAGGCGGCUUUCUGGUCUGUAACUGACGCUGAGGCGCGAAAGCGUGGGGAGCAAACAGG